UCCAGACUCCUACGGGAGGCAGCAGUGAGGAAUAUUGGUCAAUGGUCGGGAGACUGAACCAGCCAAGCCGCGUGAGGGAGGAAGGUACAGAGUAUCGUAAACCUCUUUUGUCAGGGAACAAAGACUGGGACGCGUCCCCGGAUGAGUGUACCUGAAGAAAAAGCAUCGGCUAACUCCGUGCCAGCAGCCGCGGUAAUACGGAGGAUGCGAGCGUUAUCCGGAUUUAUUGGGUUUAAAGGGUGCGCAGGCGGAGGUGCAAGUCAGCGGUCAAAUUGCGGGGCUCAACCCCGUACUGCCGUUGAAGCUGCAUCCCUUGAGUGCGCGAGAAGUAUGCGGAAUGCGCAGUGUAGCGGUGAAAUGCUUAGAUAUUGCGCAGAACUCCGAUUGCGAAGGCAGCAUACCGGCGGCGAUCUGACGCUGAGGCACGAAAGCGUGGGUAUCGAACAGGAUUAGAUACCCUUGUACGA
rnacentral:rRNA from 1 species